UUAAGGUGUUUUUAACACAAGUGUUAAUGUCACAUAUCAGACUUUUUAACGUAGAGGAUGCGGUGUGUUAUUGGUUAUUGCGCAUGUACGGUAACUUAAAAUGAAACAGAAGAACACAAGAAGUUUGAUUCAUAUAUUUUACUAAAACUGACACAAUAGAUAAUUAGGAUGCAGGAACGGACUUGUUGUGAUCGCCUGUGACGUGGUUUGUCUGUGUAGUUUUCCUCCAGAGGAUCCGGGUAGACAGUACCAGUGGAAGCUCAACAUGAGGCAGAACUGAACUCGGACUCGUCACUUCACCACUGAACUCCUAUGGGAAGGACCUGCCUGAAGGACUCCACUGUGCUGACUAUGUUCUGUCUCCACGAGCAAAGAAGUUUUCGGCACCACUGUGGAUGAUGAGGCCGUCAGCUGCUGCUCUUCCUCAUGGAGUGGAAACAGAGUGGAAUAAGGCUUUUCUACCCCAGUCCACAAGCCAAACACAGCACGCCAAGGUCUGUAGCUCUCUGGACACCUCGGCGGACAAACUCAUCACCAUGUCCACAUUGUGACUGUAGGAUUUAAAUUAAUAAAUGAUUGUGAUAAAUGCUUCAGAUAAUGAAAAUGUGAAGUCCACUAAAGAGUUUUUAUGUUGACAACACUGCUAUGUCACAUCUGAAGGAUAAAAUGGAACUAAAGAGCUACAUCUCAGAAUAUAGAUGAGUCUAAUACUUUAAUUUUAGACAGACUAUUUAACUGUAAAGUCAAGCAGCCACGACUGGUACUGGUUUGUUUUUGUACAGCUAGUGGAAGGAUCACAGUUGAACUCAACAACAACCAAUGUGCUGGA